AGCGUAGGCGGGAUCGCAAGUCAGAUGUGAAAACUAUGGGCUUAACCCAUAAACUGCAUUUGAAACUGUGGUUCUUGAGUGAAGUAGAGGUAAGCGGAAUUCCUAGUGUAGCGGUGAAAUGCGUAGAUAUUAGGAGGAACAUCAGUGGCGAAGGCGGCUUACUGGGCUUUAACUGACGCUGAGGCUCGAAAGCGUGGGGAGCAAACAGGAUUAGAUACCCCAGUA
rnacentral:rRNA from 1 species